UUACGGCCAUGUCACGUUGAAACACCGUUUCUCGUACGAUUACCGAAGUUAAGCAACGUUGAGUCUGGUCAGUACUUAGAUGAGUGACCACUUGGGAAAACCUGGUGCUGUAAG